rnacentral:rRNA from 1 species
UGGGGAAUUUUGGACAAUGGGCGCAAGCCUGAUCCAGCCAUGCCGCGUGCGGGAAGAAGGCCUUCGGGUUGUAAACCGCUUUUGUCAGGGAAGAAACGCUCUGGGCUAAUACCCUGGGGUAAUGACGGUACCUGAAGAAUAAGCACCGGCUAACUACGUGCCAGCAGCCGCGGUAAUACGUAGGGUGCAAGCGUUAAUCGGAAUUACUGGGCGUAAAGCGUGCGCAGGCGGUUAUGCAAGACAGAUGUGAAAUCCCCGGGCCCAACCUGGGAAAUGCGUUUGAUACUGUCGAGCUAGAGUGUGGAAGGGGCGAUUGGAAUUCCGUGUGUAGCAGUGAAAUGCGUAGAUAUGCGGAGGAACACCGAUGGCGAAGGCAAUCCCCUGGACCUGUACUGACGCUCAUGCACGAAAGCGUGGGGAGCAAACAGGAUUAGAUACCCGAGUAGUCCCUGAGCGGGCUGGCAAGGCGCAU